rnacentral:rRNA from 1 species
UACGGGGGGGGCAAGCGUUGUUCGGAAUUACUGGGCGUAAAGGGCGCGUAGGCGGCCAUCUAAGUCAGACGUGAAAUCCCUCGGCUCAACCGAGGAGCUGCGUCUGAUACUGGAAGGCUUGAAUCCGGGAGAGGGAUGCAGAAUUCCAGGUGUAGCGGUGAAAUGCGUAGAUAUCUGGAGGAAUACCGGUGGCGAAGGCGGCAUCCUGGACCGACAUUGACGCUGAACGGCGAAAGCUAGGGGAGCAAACGGG